CAAUAACCCAUUUAGUUGAUUUGACUAUUAUUUAAUUUAACCUCUAUAAUUUAGUAAAAUAAAUUUCAUAAACUUAUGAAUUCAUAAGAUUUUAAUUUUUAUAUUUUGUCAAUGUGUAAAUUAGUCCCUAGUAUAUUAUUUUUCCGAGUCCGCCGAUGCUCAUAAACCACCUUGUAUAAUGUGCUUUAUUAUUUUUCCGAGUCCGCGAAAGUCCAGCUCCUCUAAACCACCUUGUUCCAAUUUGGUGAAAUUUUAAAUGCGGAAAACAAAUGUGGCCAACAAGAAUUGACAAAAACAUAACUGGGGCCGUCUACAGCGAACAAUGAAAUCAAGACAGAGAGAUUUAUUUAUUUAUUAUUAUUAUUAUUAUUUUUUAACCACAAAAAUUAGGAAGUGGAUACAAUCAUACAAUGCAUUUUUAUCCAAAUGAAAAAAGUAUUCAAAAAAUUGCCAUAACAAACACGUUUUUCAUUUUAUCAGCAAAACCAAAAAAGGACGUUCAAAAAACAACCAAAAGUGCCCGAAAGGGUGUUUUUCUUAUCACCUUUCAUCGUCUCAACUCCUUGCGCUCUCCUAAAUUCAGGCGCUGCACAUGUUUUAGUUAGAAAAUGAUUCAAGAUAUUUGUUUCCUCUUUGACAAAAUGGUCCGAGUAUUGAAAGCACUCACCGACUCUAUGCAUGCUGUCCUUGCUUUUGUACCUAGCUUGCAUUGUCUGGACUCCGUGGCCUGAACACGUGAAACCUGAAACCUGAAACCUGAAACCUGAAACCAUGGUCUGUCGUGACAUAACAAAUCCGCCGUGGCCCUUUCCCAGAGGUUCUGGCCAAACUUUGAAGAUAAUCAAUUGUCGAGAGAGUAAUCCAAAAUUUACCCCCACAUAAAUAUAUCUAAUGACAGAAUGAUGAUCAACUAGAGUUGGAAUCCCAUUUAGAUUUUUAAUUGCAUGUCAUCAGCUUCAUUAUCAGAUCCUGGAUCGGUCGUUGCUGUCCCUUUGUGUUUUGUGAACAUGUAACUUACGUAGACAUAGUAGUACGUUUCGUUCAAAAUUAGAGCCAAACCGACAAACCGACCGUAAACACA
rnacentral:lncRNA from 1 species